rnacentral:rRNA from 1 species
CUACGCUGCGAUAAGCCGUGGGGAGCUGCGAAGAAGCUUUGAUCCACGGAUUUCCGAAUGGGGAAACCCACCUUCGAUAGCUGGAACUCCAAGAUCUCCGAUCUUGGGGUUUGGACAGCAAUGUUUGAGACCAAGCCGCGAGGUUUUGGAUUUCCAGUUAUCAAGUGAAGGUAUGAGACUUCCGAAUAAAAUAGGAGGUUUUAAGCGAACCCGGGGAACUGAAACAUCUAAGUACCCGGAGGAAAGGACAUCAACAGAGACUCCGUUAGUAGUGGCGAGCGAACGCGGACCAGGCCAGUGAUACAUCAAAGACAAUCGGAACCUGUCAGGAAAGCAGGGCCUCAGAGGGUGAUAGCCCCGUACGAGUAAUGCGAUGAUGUAUCCACGAGUAAGGCGGGACACGUGAAAUCCUGUCUGAACACGGGGGGACCACCCUCCAAGCCUAAGUACUCCUCAGCGACCGAUAGU